rnacentral:rRNA from 1 species
GCGAGCGCGGGGCGGAGGGCUGGGGUGAUGCGGAGGGGGGGGGGGUUGACCGGAAUCACUGGGCGUGAAGGGCGCGUAGGGGGCGGCCACAGUCUGGGGUGAAAGCUCGAUGCUGAACAUCGAGUCGGCCAUGGGGACUGGGUGGCUCGAGCACUGUAGGGGCAGAUGGAAUUCCGGGUGUAGCGGUGGAAUGCGUAGAGAUCCGGAAGAACACCGGUGGCGAAGGCGGUCUGCUGGGCAGUAGCUGACACUGAGGCGCGACAGCGUGGGGAGCAAACAGGAUUAGAUACCCCAGUAGUC